rnacentral:rRNA from 1 species
AGAGUUUGAUCAUGGCUCAGGAUGAACGCUGGCGGCGUGCCUAAUACAUGCAAAGUCGAAACGAGGUGCUUUUUGUAGCAAUACGAGAGUAUCCUAGUGGCGAACGGGUGAGUAACGCGUUGGUGACCUACCCCAAAGUGUGGGAUAACAGUCCGAAAGGAUUGCUAAUACCGCAUGUGGUCUUCGGAUUUAGAAACUGAUGACUAAAGGAGCAAUUCGCUUUGGGAGGGACCUGCGUCCCAUCAGCUAGUUGGUGAGGUAAUGGCUCACCAAGGCUACGACGGGUAGGGGACCUGAGAGGGUGACCCCCCACAAUGGAACUGAAACACGGUCCAUACACCUACGGGUGGCAGCAGUAGGGAAUAUUGCACAAUGGGCGAAAGCCUGAUGCAGCAACGCCGCGUGUGCGAUGAAGGCCUUCGGGUCGUAAAGCACUUUUCUGGGAGAUGAGCAAGGACAGUAUCUCAGGAAUAAGUCUCGGCUAACUACGUG